rnacentral:rRNA from 1 species
GUGCCAGCAGCCGCGGUAAUACCGGCAGCCCGAGUGAUGGCCGAUCUUAUUGGGCCUAAAGCGUCCGUAGCUGGCCGCGCAAGUCCGUCGGGAAAUCCACCCGCCCAACGGGUGGGCGUCCGGCGGAAACUGCACAGCUUGGGACCGGAAGGCUCGAAGGGUACGUUCGGGGUAGGAGUGAAAUCCCAUAAUCCCGCACGGACCACCGAUGGCGAAAGCACGUCGAGAGAACGGAUCCGACAGUGAGGGACGAAAGCCAGGGUCUCCAACCGGAUUAGAUACCCUUGUAGUCC